CAGAGCCGCGGGAAUACGGAGGGUGCAAGCGUUAAUCGGAAUUACUGGGCGUAAAGCGCACGCAGGCGGUCUGUCAAGUCAGAUGUGAAAUCCCCGGGCUUAACCUGGGAACUGCAUUUGAAACUGGCAGGCUAGAGUCUUGUAGAGGGGGGUAGAAUUCCAGGUGUAGCGGUGAAAUGCGUAGAGAUCUGGAGGAAUACCGGUGGCGAAGGCGGCCCCCUGGACAAAGACUGACGCUCAGGUGCGAAAGCGUGGGGAGCAAACAGGAUUAGAUACCCCUGUAGUCCCUGUCUCUUAUACC
rnacentral:rRNA from 1 species